ACGGCCAUAUCACAUUGAAACACUGAUUCUCGUAAGAUUACUAAGUUAAGCAACGUCAAGCCCGAUCAGUACCUAGAGGGGUGACCACUUGGGAAUACCAGGUGUUGUAAG